rnacentral:rRNA from 1 species
CCUAUCUGCCGUGGGUGUAGGAUACUUGAGAGGAGUUGUCUUUAGUACGAGAGGACCGAGACGAACAUACCUCUGGUGUACCGGUUGUUUUGCCAAAAGCAUCGCCGGGUAGCUAUGUAUGGACGGGAUAAUCGCUGAAUGCAUCUAAGCGAGAAGCCUCCCUCAAAACAAGGUAUCCCAAUAGGAUCGUGGUAGACCACCACGUUGAUAGGUCAGGUGUGGAAGCACAGCGAUGUGUGUAGCUAACUGAUACUAAUAAUCUGAUUGAUCUUAAUAU